UGAUUAUGACGUACUUGUACUGAUUGAGAUUUUAACACGAAGUGAGUGGCGAACGGGUGAGUAACACGUGGGUAACCUGCCCAGAAGUAGGGGAUAACACCUGGAAACAGAUGCUAAUACCGUAUAACAGAGAAAACCGCAUGGUUUUCUUUUAAAAGAUGGCUCUGCUAUCACUUCUGGAUGGACCCGCGGCGUAUUAGCUAGUUGGUGAGGUAAAGGCUCACCAAGGCAGUGAUACGUAGCCGACCUGAGAGGGUAAUCGGCCACAUUGGGACUGAGACACGGCCCAGACUCCUACGGGAGGCAGCAGUAGGGAAUCUUCCACAAUGGACGCAAGUCUGAUGGAGCAACGCCGCGUGAGUGAAGAAGGGUUUCGGCUCGUAAAGCUCUGUUGUUAAAGAAGAACGUGGGUAAGAGUAACUGUUUACCCAGUGACGGUAUUUAACCAGAAAGCCACGGCUAACUACGUGCCAGCAGCCGCGGUAAUACGUAGGUGGCAAGCGUUAUCCGGAUUUAUUGGGCGUAAAGCGAGCGCAGGCGGUCUUUUAAGUCUAAUGUGAAAGCCUUCGGCUCAACCGAAGAAGUGCAUUGGAAACUGGGAGACUUGAGUGCAGAAGAGGACAGUGGAACUCCAUGUGUAGCGGUGAAAUGCGUAGAUAUAUGGAAGAACACCAGUGGCGAAGGCGGCUGUCUGGUCUGCAACUGACGCUGAGGCUCGAAAGCAUGGGUAGCGAACAGGAUUAGAUACCCUGGUAGUCCAUGCCGUAAACGAUGAUUACUAAGUGUUGGAGGGUUUCCGCCCUUCAGUGCUGCAGCUAACGCAUUAAGUAAUCCGCCUGGGGAGUACGACCGC
rnacentral:rRNA from 1 species